UCCGCAGUAGCUCAGUGGUUGUGCUAUUUGCUGUUAACCGAUCGGUCGUAGGUUCGAGUCCUACCUGCGGAGCCA
rnacentral:tRNA from 1 species